ACUGCGAUAGCCCAGCUGACAGAGCAUCUGCCCGAUGAGCGGAAUGUCGCCGGUUCGCUUCCGGCUCUCGGUA
rnacentral:tRNA from 1 species